AACUUUUAACAAUGGAUCACUUGGUUCUGGCAUCGAUGAAGAACGCAGCGAAAUGCGAUAAGUAAUGUGAAUUGCAGAAUUCAGUGAAUCAUCGAGUUUUUGAACGCACACUGCGCCCCUUGGUAUUCCGGGGGGCAUGCCCGUUCGAGCGUCAUUUCACCAAUCAAGCCUGGCUUGGUAUUGGGCCCCGGGGGUGACCCGGGCCUCAAAGUCUUCGGCUAGAAAGCUCUAAUCUCAGCGUCGUGAAAAAUUCGCUAAUGAAAGGAGUGAUCUGUGCCGUUAAACUUACUCAAAAGGUUGACCUCGGAUCGGGUAGGAAUACCCGCUGAACUUAAGCAUAUCAAUAAGCGGAGGCU
rnacentral:misc_RNA from 1 species